rnacentral:rRNA from 1 species
GAUGAACGCUGGCGGCGUGCCUAAUACAUGCAAGUCGAGCGAACAGACGAGGAGCUUGCUCCUCUGACGUUAGCGGCGGACGUGUGAUUAACACGUGUAUAACCUACCUAUAAUACUUGGAUAACUUCGGGAAACCGGAUCUAAUACCGUAUAAUAUAUUCAACCGCAUUGUUCAAUAGUUAAUGACGGUUUUUCUGUCACUUAUAGAUGUAUCCGCUCCGCAUUAGCUAGUUGGUAAGGUAACGGCUUACCAAGGCGACGAUGCGUAGCCGACAUGAGAGGGUGAUCGGCCACACUGGAACUGAGACACGGUACAGAGUCCUACGGGAGGCAGCAGUAGGGAAUAUUCCGCAAUGGGCGAAAGCAUGACGGAGAAACGCCGAGUGAGUGAUGAAGGUCUUAGGAUCGUAAAACUCUGUUAUUAGGGAAGAAAAAAUGUGUAAGAAAAUAUGAACGUAUUGACGGUAACAAAUCAGAAAGCAACGGCUAACUACGUG